ACGCGGGGAUGAAAGCAAGCAAGGCGCGGGGUCUCCCCGAGAGCAGGCAGGGGACUGGCAAGUGGGCCCCUGAACCUCGUGAGACACCCCCCCGAGCUUGACUGGGGGCUGAAACGGUGCCUGGACCCCUCGAAACCUGCAGGACAUCAGAGGCUGGGGCCUGGCAGGGGGCAGGCAGGAAGCUGGUGCCUGGAGGCUGGCUUCUCUUUCCGCAUGACCUUGGGGCGAGGCACCUCCUGCAGCUCCGUGCGUGUGCUUUUAUAACAUUUCUCAGCGCCAGGUCAGCCCCCUGCCGCUCCCUGUCCAAGAUGGAGCCUGAGAAAUUGUCCCCAGGUCAGAACCGAGCCCCGAAAGGGAGAAGUGACUGAUUCAAGGCCUCAGAGCCAGGCUGCAGACUCAGUUUCCCUGUCCGUGGUGCUGAGGACACCAGGGCCUAGAGACUCGGGGCGGCCAGGGCGGCAUCCGCGGCCGCUCUGAACACUGGCCAAAGACUGGAACGUCCAGGAGAGCAGAGACCUUGAGUGUCCUGUUUGCUGCGUGCCCAGCAAGGCCUGAUGUCUGUAGAUGCUCAGAAGUAUUCACUGAAUGAACAAAGUCCUGGCUCAGCAUUUACUAACUGUAUGGCUUGGGGUUGAGCCUCAGUGUCCUCUGCUGUAAAAUACAGAUUAUAACCCCUGGGGCACAGGGUUGUCAUGAGGGGUGAGAGGAUGCAUGCGAAGUGGUUGGGAAACACCCCCCCGCCCCCCACCCCCCACCACUGUAUUGCUGUUCCAUGCAUUGCGCUGCAUGGCUUGGCUUCUCUGCCAGCAGCUGGCAUUCAGGGAUGAAUAGUGCACACACCUGUAGCAACUCAGUCUCGGAAGACAGUGUUGUGUAAGAAAAAAAUUCAGACUAGAAUGUACAUUCUGAUCGCCAAAAAGUGAUCAUUUGUGCACAUGUGGAUGAGGCUUGGAGAGAAAUUGGCUAUGACAGGCACUGGAGAGUGCAUUCCAAUUAUGGAAUCUGUUCUCCGAGGACAUCAAAAAACAUUUUCCAAAAGCUCUUUGAUGCUGAAUUCUGAAAGCAGACACGGUGUGGGUGAUGGGCCUAAGGAGGGAUGUGGGGAGAGAUCGAGCGGGAGGUCCCUGUCCAGUCUCUGGCCUUCCUACAGACUGGUUCCCCUAAUCUGACCUGCGGGGCCUGGUAGGGGAGUCGUCAGGGCCACUGGGCAGAACAGAGGGGUCCUCUCUUGGGCCCCAGCCCUGCCACCAGCUUCAGCUGCAAGGCCUGUUCCUAGGAAGGGCUUUGUGAGUCUGCCUCCCUUCAAAGCGAAGGGCCGCUUGUCAAGCCCUCGGUAGGAGCAGGCCCUUUACUUGUAGCUCAGCACUUGUGAAUUUUCCCUGCCAGCAGUGAGGUGGGUGUAAUCAGCACCUAACAGUAAGAAGGCUGAGCUUCACUAGGAAGUGAAACUAUUUGUCCAAGGCAGGUAGCAAGAAGGACAGUACCCAAGGACCCACCCAGGACUCCUCUCUGAAUGUGGGGGAGCCCCAUUCUUCUGCACCAAAAUCACCUUUGACACAGGAGGUCCUAGGCACUUGGCAUAAUGCAAGUUCCCCAGAGGACUGGAGAAACAGAGCUGGGCUGGGCUCACCGCCUGCUCCCAGGCUGUACUUGGGACCAGACAUCCCAAAUUCAGUUCUGACCCUUAAAAUAUUGAUGUAAGCGCAAAGAGGCCGAUGGGCUGAAAUCCUGCAUGCUCAAGAUUGGGUUACAGCCCCCACCAGCAGUGUAAUGUGGAACAGGGCUUCUCACUGAGUGCCUGGGUUUGGCCCCAGGCCAGGAUGCUCAUCAGCUGGAGAAAGCCAGCAGCUUCCUAGAGGUCUCCAAGGCCAAGCACGACCUUUCUCAGAGGCGCCCUUCUACCAUACCCCUAGCCCCAGCACUUCAGGGCCACAGGCAGGACCUAGAGCCCAGAGUUUAAUGAAAGCAGUGAGUUGUAUACCCACAUGUCUUGUGGGUGGGACAGGCCCUCGCCACAUUCCCCAUGUGUAGCAUCUUUGGAGCUUAUGCCUCCACCAGCUGUGUGGCCUUGGGCAAGUUACCUACCCCUCUAAGCCAGACAGAGAUCAUUAUUCCUACCCUACAAGGUUGCUGGGGAAAUCGCGGGAGCCAGCCGGAAAAGGGUGGGCUCAAGUUCAGGGCCCCACAAAGGGUAGCUGCGCCUUUCUAUUGAUUGUUAGCUGGAUUCCCAGAGGCUGGCAGAGAGCAGUCAUUACUGGUUGUUAGUAAGCGUGGCCCUGCAGCACGGGGCGGGGGUGGGGGUGAAGCAAGAGCAAAGCCUGCAGGAGGUCUGGCAAUUGGCAAAGCAGGAGGGCCCCCCAGAGGCCUACCAGGGCCUGGGGCCACUUCCAUUCUUUGAGGCUUCUAGCACUUUCAAAAAUGAAGAAACACAGGCAUUACUUGUUUUAUUACACCUCGUAGAUACUGCAUUUUUUCCCAAAUUGAAGGCUUGUGGCAACCCUGCAUUGAAUAAGCCUAUUGGUAGCAUUUUUCCAACAGCAUUUGCUCACUUCAUGCCUUUGUCACAUUUUGGUAAUCUUGGCAAUAUUUUCAUCUUUUUAUUAUUAUUAUUAUUAUAUUCAUUUUUGUGGACAAAAAAAUAUUGUUACGGACAUGACAGGCCAGCCAAGAAACAAGCACCACUCGGAGGGUUGGAGUACUCAGAUUUAUUACGCCGGGGGGCUCAGAGGGGCUUCUGCUCCGAAGCUCUGAGCACCUCCAAGACGUGCACAUGAGGUUUUAUAAGGUUAAUUACAAGUAUGGGGCUAUUAGCCAAUAAGGUUCAAACAACAAAAAGCUAGGAAUCAGUACACUGGAGCUUAUCAAUUUGGAACAGAUCACGUUACUGACACUUGUUGAGCUUGGAUUUACGAGUUAGCUUGUUAGCCCAGUAAACUGACACUAAACUUUAGAUUUACGAGUUAGCCCGGCAGAACUUAGAUCAGUAAACCGACACUUAUCACACUUAGAUUUGUGACUUAGCUCGUUAGCCCAGCUGGGCUUUUCCUUCACAAUAUUGCCUGGCAUUUCAGUAAACAGCGAAUGUUGCCCGCCACCAAGCCAUCAGCCACUGCACCCAGAGGGGAAUUCAGCAAGGAGAGAAACAAGAUAAUGGCCCUGGACAAGAUGCACAGCAAAGGAGUGAUUUCAAUAAGCCCAGACUCUUGCAUCUUCCCAUGCAGAGAAAAGCACUAAAAUCAUUAACUUGAGGUGUCUGGGUUUUGUGAUUAGCAGUCAUCUUUUGAUGUUCAACUACAAGUUUGUUUGUUUUCCUGCAAAAACUCUUGUAUAUCCUGGCUCCUCCGUCUUGGGAACAGUUCCUCAGAGUUAUCUGAGAGGCUGUUUGUCGGGCGGGCUCUAGUCCUCAAUAAGUUCCCCAAAUAAAACCUAACUCUCCAA